rnacentral:lncRNA from 1 species
GGGACUUUGCACGGGCUUAUCUCUUGUACCAUUUGUGUUCAUAAAAGUUAUUUUAACUUUUCAGGUUGAUUGCCCCCUGGGGUCAGGGAGGAAUACAAAGACAAAGACGCAUGUUACCAAGAGGCUACAAAGAGGCCAUCAAGAGAACCGCCACCAGGGGAGAAACCAAUUCCAUCAUUUCUGCCCUUCCGCCUGCUGGUGAUUUCCCAAAACCAACCCUUACAGUCAACAGGAAGCAAGCACAAGGCCCAUCCUGG